rnacentral:rRNA from 1 species
CAAGGGUGAGCCAGUACAGGAUGGACCCGCGUCUGAUUAGCUAGUUGGUAAGGCAACGGCUUACCAAGGCGACGAUCAGUAGCCGACCUGAGAGGGUGAUCGGCCACAUUGGAACUGAGACACGGUCCAAACUCCUACGGGAGGCAGCAGUGGGGAAUAUUGCACAAUGGGCGAAAGCCUGAUGCAGCAACGCCGCGUGAGUGAUGAAGGCCUUCGGGUCGUAAAACUCUGUCCUCAAGGAAGAUAAUGACGGUACUUGAGGAGGAAGCCCCGGCUAACUACGUGCCAGCAGCCGCGGUAAUACGUAGGGGGCUAGCGUUAUCCGGAUUUACUGGGCGUAAAGGGUGCGUAGGCGGUCUUUCAAGUCAGGAGUGAAAGGCUACGGCUCAACCGUAGUAAGCUCUUGAAACUGGGAGACUUGAGUGCAGGAGAGGAGAGUGGAAUUCCUAGUGUAGCGGUGAGAUGCGUAGAUAUUAGGAGGAACACCAGUUGCGAAGGCGGCUCUCUGGACUGUAACUGACGCUGAGGCACGAAAGCGUGGGGAGCAAACAGGAUUAGAUACCCUGGUAGUCCACGCUGUAAACGAUGAGUACUAGGUGUCGGGGGUUACCCCCUUCG